rfam:Medicago truncatula strain A17 chromosome 5, whole genome shotgun sequence.
UUGCUAUGAUGAAACUCAGUUUUUUGAAGGCAUUCAUUUGAAUAUCGAUGAUACUUCGGCAUUUGUGUCGAAUCUGAGCGGUUAGCUGAGCAA